rnacentral:rRNA from 1 species
UCCGGUUGAUCCUGCCGGCGGUCACUGCUAUCGAGUUUCGACUAAGCCGUGCGAGUCACAGGCCGAAAGGUACUGGCGGACGGCUCAGUAACACGCGGAUAAUCUACCCUCAGGUGGGGUAUACCCUUGGGAAACUGAGGCUAAUCCCCCAUAGGUCCUGUAAACUGGAAUGUUUUAGGACUGAAAGUCACGGCGCCUGAGGAUGAGUCUGCGGCCUAUCAGGUAGUAGGUGGGGUAAAGGCCCACAUAGCCUAUGACGGGUACGGGCCCUGAGAGGGGUAGCCCGGAGAUGGGUUCUGAGACACGAACCCAGGCCCUACGGGGCGCAGCAGGCGCGAAACCUUCGCAAUGCGCGCAAGCGCGACGAGGGGAACUCGAGUGCCAUUAUCCUUUUGGGUGAUAGCUUUUCUCGAUCCUAAAAAGAUCGGGGAAUAAAAGCUGGGUAAGACGGGUGCCAGCCGCCGCGGUAAUACCCGCAGCUCAAGUGGUGGCCACUAUUAUUGAGCCUAAAGCGUCCGUAGCCGGUCUUGUAAAUCUCUGGGUAAAUCCCAUCGCUCAACGGUGGGAAGACUGGAGAGACUGCAAGACUAGGGAUCGGGUGAGGUAAGAGGUACUCCUGGGGUAGGGGUAAAAUCCUGUAAUCCUGGGGGGACGACCGGUGGCGAAGGCGUCUUACUAGAACGACUCCGACGGUGAGGGACGAAGGCUAGGGGAGCAAACCGGAUUAGAUACCCGGGUAGUCCUAGCUGUAAACGCUGCCCACUUGGUGUUGCCCUUUCGUAGGGAAGGGGCAGUGCCGGAGCGAAGGUGUUAAGUGGGCCGCUUGGGGAGUAUGGUCGCAAGGCUGAAACUUAAAGGAAUUGGCGGGAGAGCACCGCAACGGGAGGAGCGUGCGGUUUAAUUGGAUUCAACGCCGGG